UGGCGAUGAUGACAAAAAGGCCUGACUUACAUCUGCUUCCAAAUGGUUGUAGCAGAUUGGUGAAACAUAUCCUAAGGAAUAUGCUGAGCCAG